UUGAGAGCUCACUGGCUUCGGAUUCCAUAGGAACUCCGAAGUUAAGCGAGUUUGGGUUAGAGCAAUCCCAGGAUGGGUGAUCUACUGGGAAGUUGCUCGUGAGUUCCCAGA
rfam:Prunus persica cultivar Lovell chromosome G3, whole genome shotgun sequence.